rnacentral:rRNA from 1 species
UUAAGCGACUAAGCGUACACGGUGGAUGCCCUGGCAGUCAGAGGCGAUGAAGGACGUGCUAAUCUGCGAUAAGCGUCGGUAAGGUGAUAUGAACCGUUAUAACCGGCGAUUUCCGAAUGGGGAAACCCAGUGUGAUUCGUCACACUAUCAUUAACUGAAUCCAUAGGUUAAUGAGGCGAACCGGGGGAACUGAAACAUCUAAGUACCCCGAGGAAAAGAAAUCAACCGAGAUUCCCCCAGUAGCGGCGAGCGAACGGGGAGCAGCCCAGAGCCUGAAUCAGUGUGUGUGUUAGUGGAAGCGUCUGGAAAGGCGCGCGAUACAGGGUGACAGCCCCGUACACAAAAAUGCACAUGCUGUGAGCUCGAUGAGUAGGGCGGGACACGUGGUAUCCUGUCUGAAUAUGGGGGGACCAUCCUCCAAGGCUAAAUACUCCUGACUGACCGAUAGUGAACCAGUACCGUGAGGGAAAGGCGAAAAGAACCCCGGCGAGGGGAGUGAAAAAGAACCUGAAACCGUGUACGUACAAGCAGUGGGAGCCUCUUUAUGGGGUGACUGCGUACCUUUUGUAUAAUGGGUCAGCGACUUAUAUUCUGUAGCAAGGUUAACCGAAUAGGGGAGCCGAAGGGAAACCGAGUCUUAACUGGGCGUUAAGUUGCAGGGUAUAGACCCGAAACCCGGUGAUCUAGCCAUGGGCAGGUUGAAGGUUGGGUAACACUAACUGGAGGACCGAACCGACUAAUGUUGAAAAAUUAGCGGAUGACUUGUGGCUGGGGGUGAAAGGCCAAUCAAACCGGGAGAUAGCUGGUUCUCCCCGAAAGCUAUUUAGGUAGCGCCUCGUGAAUUCAUCUCCGGGGGUAGAGCACUGUUUCGGCAAGGGGGUCAUCCCGACUUACCAACCCGAUGCAAACUGCGAAUACCGGAGAAUGUUAUCACGGGAGACACACGGCGGGUGCUAACGUCCGUCGUGAAGAGGGAAACAACCCAGACCGCCAGCUAAGGUCCCAAAGUCAUGGUUAAGUGGGAAACGAUGUGGGAAGGCCCAGACAGCCAGGAUGUUGGCUUAGAAGCAGCCAUCAUUUAAAGAAAGCGUAAUAGCUCACUGGUCGAGUCGGCCUGCGCGGAAGAUGUAACGGGGCUAAACCAUGCACCGAAGCUGCGGCAGCGACGCUUAUGCGUUGUUGGGUAGGGGAGCGUUCUGUAAGCCUGUGAAGGUGUACUGUGAGGUAUGCUGGAGGUAUCAGAAGUGCGAAUGCUGACAUAAGUAACGAUAAAGCGGGUGAAAAGCCCGCUCGCCGGAAGACCAAGGGUUCCUGUCCAACGUUAAUCGGGGCAGGGUGAGUCGACCCCUAAGGCGAGGCCGAAAGGCGUAGUCGAUGGGAAACAGGUUAAUAUUCCUGUACUUGGUGUUACUGCGAAGGGGGGACGGAGAAGGCUAUGUUGGCCGGGCGACGGUUGUCCCGGUUUAAGCGUGUAGGCUGGUUUUCCAGGCAAAUCCGGAAAAUCAAGGCUGAGGCGUGAUGACGAGGCACUACGGUGCUGAAGCAACAAAUGCCCUGCUUCCAGGAAAAGCCUCUAAGCAUCAGGUAACAUCAAAUCGUACCCCAAACCGACACAGGUGGUCAGGUAGAGAAUACCAAGGCGCUUGAGAGAACUCGGGUGAAGGAACUAGGCAAAAUGGUGCCGUAACUUCGGGAGAAGGCACGCUGAUAUGUAGGUGAAGUCCCUUGCGGAUGGAGCUGAAAUCAGUCGAAGAUACCAGCUGGCUGCAACUGUUUAUUAAAAACACAGCACUGUGCAAACACGAAAGUGGACGUAUACGGUGUGACGCCUGCCCGGUGCCGGAAGGUUAAUUGAUGGGGUUAGCGGUAACGCGAAGCUCUUGAUCGAAGCCCCGGUAAACGGCGGCCGUAACUAUAACGGUCCUAAGGUAGCGAAAUUCCUUGUCGGGUAAGUUCCGACCUGCACGAAUGGCGUAAUGAUGGCCAGGCUGUCUCCACCCGAGACUCAGUGAAAUUGAACUCGCUGUGAAGAUGCAGUGUACCCGCGGCAAGACGGAAAGACCCCGUGAACCUUUACUAUAGCUUGACACUGAACAUUGAGCCUUGAUGUGUAGGAUAGGUGGGAGGCUUUGAAGUGUGGACGCCAGUCUGCAUGGAGCCGACCUUGAAAUACCACCCUUUAAUGUUUGAUGUUCUAACGUUGACCCGUAAUCCGGGUUGCGGACAGUGUCUGGUGGGUAGUUUGACUGGGGCGGUCUCCUCCUAAAGAGUAACGGAGGAGCACGAAGGUUGGCUAAUCCUGGUCGGACAUCAGGAGGUUAGUGCAAUGGCAUAAGCCAGCUUGACUGCGAGCGUGACGGCGCGAGCAGGUGCGAAAGCAGGUCAUAGUGAUCCGGUGGUUCUGAAUGGAAGGGCCAUCGCUCAACGGAUAAAAGGUACUCCGGGGAUAACAGGCUGAUACCGCCCAAGAGUUCAUAUCGACGGCGGUGUUUGGCACCUCGAUGUCGGCUCAUCACAUCCUGGGGCUGAAGUAGGUCCCAAGGGUAUGGCUGUUCGCCAUUUAAAGUGGUACGCGAGCUGGGUUUAGAACGUCGUGAGACAGUUCGGUCCCUAUCUGCCGUGGGCGCUGGAGAACUGAGGGGGGCUGCUCCUAGUACGAGAGGACCGGAGUGGACGCAUCACUGGUGUUCGGGUUGUCAUGCCAAUGGCACUGCCCGGUAGCUAAAUGCGGAAGAGAUAAGUGCUGAAAGCAUCUAAGCACGAAACUUGCCCCGAGAUGAGUUCUCCCUGACUCCCUGAGAGUCCUGAAGGAACGUUGAAGACGACGACGUUGAUAGGCCGGGUGUGUAAGCGCAGCGAUGCGUUGAGCUAACCGGUACUAAUGAACCGUGAGGCUUAACCUU